GGAAUUCGAUUCGGUGUGACAAGGCCCGGGAACGUAUUCACCGCGGCGUGCUGAUCCGCGAUUACUAGCGAUUCCAACUUCAUGCAGGCGAGUUGCAGCCUGCAAUCCGAACUGAGACCGGUUUUCUCCGAUUAGCUCCCUCUUGCGAGAUCGCGACGGUUUGUACCGGCCAUUGUAGCACGUGUGUAGCCCCAGACAUAAAGGCCAUGCUGACUUGACGUCAUCCCCACCUUCCUCCGGUUUAUCACCGGCAGUCUCCGCAGAGUGCCCAGCGUAACCUGAUGGCAACAGCGGACAAGGGUUGCGCUCGUUGCGGGACUUAACCCAACAUCUCACGACACGAGCUGACGACAGCCAUGCAGCACCUCUACGAGCGUCCUUGCGGAAGCCUACUUUCGUAGGAUGUCACUCGCAGUUCAAGCCUGGGUAAGGUUCUUCGCGUUAAUCACUA
rnacentral:rRNA from 1 species